GAUGAACGCUAGCGGCAGGCCUAAUACAUGCAAGCCGAACGGCAAGUUUGAUAGCAAUAUUGGACCUAGAGUGGCGCAAGGGUGCGUAACACGUAUGCAACCUGCCCGCGACAGGAGGAUAGCUCCCCGAAAGGGGAAUUAACCCUCCAUAACACCAUGAGAAGGCAUCUGAUUAUGGUUAAACCGCAAGGGGUCGCGGAUGGGCAUGCGGUUGAUUAGCUAGUUGGCGGGGUAAAGGCCCACCAAGGCGGUGAUCAAUAGGGGUUCUGAGAGGAAGGUCCCCCACACUGGCACUGGGAUACGGGCAAGACUCCUACGGGAGGCAGCAGUAGGGAAUAUUGGACAAUGGUUGCAAGACUGAUCCAGCCAUGCCGCGUGCAGGAAGAAGGCCUUCUGGGUCGUAAACUGCUUUUUCCUGUGGAUAAAAUACCCGUGCGCGGGGAAUUGAAGGUAACAGGGGAAUAAGCCACGGCUAACUACGUG
rnacentral:rRNA from 1 species